UACAGAGACGGCAAGCGUUGUUCGGAUUCAUUGGGCGUAAAGGGUGCGUAGGCGGUCGGCUAAGUCGGAUGUGAAAUCUCACAGCCCAACUGUGAGCGGUCAUUCGAAACUAGUCGGCUUGAGGACUGGAGAGGAGACUGGAAUGGUCGGUGUAGUGGUGAAAUGCAUAGAUAUGACCCGGAACACCUAUUGCGAAGGCAGCAGGCUAAACAAAUAUUGACGCUGAGGCUCGAAAGCGUGGGGAUCAAACAGG
rnacentral:rRNA from 1 species